AGGACGAACGCUGGCGGCGUGCUUAACACAUGCAAGUCAAGGGGGCCCAGCAAUGGGCAACCGGCGAGCGGGUGCGUAACACGUGAGCAACCUACCGAACUGUGGGGGAUAGCCGGCCUAACGGCCGAGUAAUACCGCAUACGCUCUCAGAGAGGCAUUUCUUUGAGAGGAAACCUACGGGACAGAUCGAGGGGCUCGCGGCCUAUCAGCUAGUUGGCGAGGUAACGGCUCACCAAGGCAACGACGGGUAGC
rnacentral:rRNA from 1 species